rnacentral:rRNA from 1 species
GGCGAACGCUGGCGGCGUGCCUAAUACAUGCAAGUCGAGCGGACCGGAUUGGGGCUUGCCUUGAUUCGGUCAGCGGCGGACGGGUGAGUAACACGUGGGCAACCUGCCCGCAAGACCGGGAUAACUCCGGGAAACCGGAGCUAAUACCGGAUAACACCGAAGACCGCAUGGUCUUCGGUUGAAAGGCGGCCUUUGGGCUGUCACUUGCGGAUGGGCCCGCGGCGCAUUAGCUAGUUGGUGAGGUAACGGCUCACCAAGGCGACGAUGCGUAGCCGGCCUGAGAGGGUGACCGGCCACACUGGGACUGAGACACGGCCCAGACUCCUACGGGAGGCAGCAGUAGGGAAUCUUCCGCAAUGGGCGAAAGCCUGACGGAGCGACGCCGCGUGAGCGAAGAAGGCCUUCGGGUCGUAAAGCUCUGUUGUGAGGGACGAAGGAGCGUCGUUCGAGGAGGGCGGCGCGGUGACGGUACCUCACGAGAAAGCCCCGGCUAACUACGUG